UGCCAGGGGACGGGUCUCGGUGCAGUGACUGCCAUUAGCUUGGGGCCGCAGAAAGUUUCUCCCCUUUCUCGGGCUCCUGCCAGGCCCUUGGCUUUCAGAGACAGGCCCGAUUUCUAGAUAACAUUUAAGUUUGCAGAAAAGGGGAUGCCAGGUCACGGUGGUCACGGCUGUGGGAUGCAGCCUCUGAGAUUUGUAUUAAUUUUUGUGAGCCGGGGAAAGGCCUUGCUGCUUUCUCCGCCAGGACUGAUGUGUCUUCCCAAAAUGAAAGUGCCUGAUGCUGCUGCUUUCUCCCCUGAUGGGAAGUGGAAGCCAUGAUUCUGCAGUCCUGGCCAUAAAGCUGUGAAUUGUACUAGCUGGCACAGCCAGUACUGCCCUACUGAGUUCAGUGAACUGUCCUUCUGAUCUACACUGAGAGAGCCUGGCUGUGGUGCAAUGCUCACAGUGAAGCCGUCUGCAUAGCUGAG
rnacentral:lncRNA from 1 species